CUGCCUGCCCGGUGACAUUAGUUAAACGGCCGCGGUAUUCUGACCGUGCAAAGGUAGAAUAAUCAUUUGUUCUCUAAAUAAGGACUUGUAUGAAUGGCCACACGAGGAUUUAACUGUCUCUUACUUCCAAUCAGUGAAAUUGACCUUCCCGUGAAGAGGCGGGAAUAAAACAAUAAGACGAGAAGACCCUAUGGAGCUUUAAUUAACUAGCUCAAAAGAACCUAUUUACCAGACCGACAGGAACAACAUACUCCUUUCAUGAGCUAGCAAUUUAGGUUGGGGCGACCUCGGAGUAUAAAACAACCUCCGAGUGAUAUUAGUCUAGACGUACCAGUCAAAAUGCUCACUUACUUAUUGAUCCAAAACUUUUUUGAUCAACGGAAUAAGUUACCCUAGGGAUAACAGCGCAAUCCUAUUUAAGAGUCCAUAUCGACAAUAGGGUUUACGACCUCGAUGUUGGAUCAGGACAUCCUAAUGGUGCAGCAGCUAUUAAGGGUUCGUUUGUUCAACGAUUAAAGUCCUACGUGAUCUGAG
rnacentral:rRNA from 1 species